rnacentral:rRNA from 1 species
CACUCCUUGAAUAUAAUAAGGAGCCAAACCUGCUCAGUGAAGAAAUUUUAAAUAGCCGCAGUAUCCUGACUGUGCAAAGGUAGCAUAAUCAUUUGUCUAUUAAUUGUAGACGGGUAUGAAUGGUUCGAGCGUUAAAUUCUGUCUCUAAUAUAUUUUAUUGAAUUUAACUUUAAGGUGAAGAGGCCUUAAUUUUUAAAAAAGACAAGAAGACCCUAAAAGUUUGAAAAAAGAUAGCUACAAAAUAUUUGGUUGGGGCAACUAAGUAACAUUUAAAAGCUUACUUUAUAGAUAUGAUAAUUUUGAUCCACUAUCAGUGACUACAGAAAAACUACUUUAGGGAUAACAGCAUAAUGCUUUCUUAGAGUCCUUAUCGAAGAAGGCGUUUGUGACCUCGAUGUUGGACUAGAGUUUCCUAUUAAUGCAGCAGUUAAUAAAGGUUGAUCUGUUCGAUCAUAAAAACUCU